rnacentral:misc_RNA from 1 species
AAGUCGUAACAAGGUUUCCGUAGGUGAACCUGCGGAAGGAUCAUUAACACGUUAUCCACGUUUUAUCCACGUAACUACGAACUGUGCUCCCUGUUAGCUAAUCUAUAGCUGUUCAUGUUUGAUUCUAGUGGGUUGGCUUCGGCUGACAGGUCAGACUGAACUAUUACUCCUCGAGAGUAUGGCUAUUAAUCUGCUAAUGGGCUUAUUGACUCUCAUUGUCACCCAACCACUUUGGGCGAUGAUGGGGACCCCAUAACCUAUUUCACCCUAUUUUACCCUAAUUGGCUAAUUCUACUAUUCACAGGAGAAAUCCUGCUGAAUGUACUAAGAUUUAUCUUAACUAAGCACAACUCUUAGCAAUGGAUAUCUUGGUUCUC